GGAAACGAAGAAAGAGGAAGAAGGAAAUGAAGGAGACACACAAGACUCCACACGCACGCGCACACACACAAACUUGUGGCUUUCAGUUGUUUUCUGUCUUUUUUCUUCUUAUUUUUUCCCUUCUU
rnacentral:ribozyme from 14 species